CGACGAGGCUUCCAUCCCUCAAACUGAAGAAUGGUGUCGCGUAAUAGUAACGAGCCCGGUCUCCGAUAACAUAUCAACUUAGAAUUAGAGAUCGAUGUGGAUGGUGAACGGCGUUUCUCGAAAACUUGUCAAAAAAUACGGAUUACUUGUAGAAUUUCAGAGCAAAUAAUUGGCAAAUACGGGUCAGCCAAUCGGAACGUUCGUUAAAAAUAUUGUAGAGAAGAAGAAAGAUCAGACCUGGAAGGAAUUACGAUUUCUAUUAGGCGUUUGUUUUUUGUGUUUGUAAUUUUGGACCGAGUGAAAAUUACUCGGCACUGUUCACAGUCUAUUACUUACAUUAAUAUAAUUAUAUUCUCUUAACUCAGUUUGGGUAGAUCGAAGUUACCUUGAAUUUGCCUACCAUCGUUUAAAACACCAUCCACAUGGUUCACUCUCCCCUUACAUAAUAAGUCGCUCGGAAAUAUAUAUACAUAAACAUUAUUGGUGUUUCCAAUGGUCAACUCCAAUGACAAAUUUAUUAUAUACUGCCCCCCGUUCGAGUGCUAUUGCGCGCGCGCGCGCGCGCGAAUUUCAUCACGUUGCCAUUGAUCAUUUAAACUGUAAUACUUGCUUUGUGUAUAAUUGAAAAAUUCUCAGUUUCUUUAUCCAUCUAUCGUAUAAUAAAUUUAAGCAAUUCACUCGUUAGCCUGUUACCAGGAUCAUUUAGCGAAUAGAAACGCUCCAAGUAGUAGCAAUUGCGGUGGUCCCUGGUUUCAAGAAACAAUAUUGAUUCGAAAGCUCAACGAAUGUCGCAACGACGAGUCUUGUGUACGAGGCAAAAAUCGCGACUCGAAAGCGGGGAUUACUGCGAAAUAAAGACGGAGUUAACUGAAAAACGAGCGCGACGUAAAUUAUUUCCGAUACACGAGUAUCGCGACACAAAUAAAUACAAGUUUUGAAUAAGUAGAGGCUUUGAAUAAAUUUGUAAUAAACGAAGCACGGGAAGGUACGAUGCUUUCACAGUGGAAUCAGAAAUCGAACGACGCACGUACGUUUUCUGUAAAGAAUGAUACUGUAAUUGUUUCAAUUUCGCGACAAAUUGGUUCAUCUGUUUCGGUUGUAAACUAUUUCCCUUUCCAACGAUGCCAUCGAGCUUUCGAGAUCGUAAUUUUAAGUGAAUCUUUAAUUCUUCAAAGAGAAUAAGAUGCGUCUGGAUGGAAAGGCAAAGCACGCGAUCGUAAGGCUCUCCGGAAUUCCCAACGAAGCGAAAGAUUGAUCGAUGCGUCACGAUCCAGCGAUCGGAAUGAUUCACUGGAUCUCACUCGGAAUUCCGGGAUCGCGCGCCAGAGCGUCAUCGAACGAUUUUUUUUUAUUUAGGAACAGGCUCUGGGACUUUUUAUCGAAGUAUUCUGUAUUUGAAUGAUUGAGUGUAUAUCCGAGGAAAAUCGUGUACAAAUGAAAGAUAUGUUCGCUUUCUUUUUAUAUGUUUAUUUGGGUUGUUGUUCCGAGUACUCGUGUGUUCGAAUAAUGGCACUCGAGUACUCAAUAUUCGUAUACUGACGUUCGUAAACUCAAUUAUUCGAAUAGUAAUAUUCGAGUAAUUGUAUUUUAAAGGUUUCAUUAUACAAAUAAACAUGUUCCAAUAUCCUAAUACAGAAACUUCGUUCGCGUCAUACGAACAACCAAUAAGUAUUCAAAUACACAUUAAAAUAUCGUAACAGUCCCAGUAUCUGGUACGCAUCGAGCAACACCGACUCGUCACGCAAUAUUAUGUAUCGUAUUUUUCGUUGCAUUGUACAUAUUUGUAAAGAUCGUUUAGGUUAAUUUCUCGCGGCUUCGAGCAGUGUGCGUGCGUAUAACUCUGGGAAAUACCCACGAGUGACGAGCGAGCGCGGAGAUCGCGCUCCGAUUGUAAAAAGCUGUUUAUCGAUUAAAUGUAAUUUCCGUCGAA